rnacentral:rRNA from 1 species
GAAUUCGCCCUUAGAGUUUGAUCCUGGCUCAGGACGAACGCUGGCGGCGUGCCUAACACAUGCAAGUCGAGCGGGGAUAUGGAGGAGCUUGCUCCGAGGUAUUCUAGCGGCGGACGGGUGAGUAACGCGUGAGCAACCUGCCUUUCACAGGGGGAUAACGCAUCGAAAGAUGUGCUAAUACCGCGUAAGACCACGGCACCGCAUGGUGCAGGGGUCAAAGGAGGAAUCCGGUGAGAGAUGGGCUCGCGUCCGAUUAGCUAGUUGGUGAGAUAACAGCCCACCAAGACGACGAUCGGUAGCCGACCUGAGAGGGUGAUCGGCCACAUUGGAACUGAGAGGCGGUCCAGACUCCUACGGGAGGCAGCAGUGGGGAAUAUUGGGCAAUGGGCGAAAGCCUGACCCAGCAACGCCGCGUGAGGGAAGAAGGGUUUCGGCUCGUAAACCUCUGUCCUAUGGGACGAAGGAAGUGACGGUACCAUAGGAGGAAGCCCCGGCUAACUACGUGCCAGCAGCCGCGGUAAUACGUAGGGGGCGAGCGUUGUCCGGAAUGAUUGGGCGUAAAGGGCGCGUAGGCGGCCUAUUAAGUCUGGAGUGAAAGUCCUGCUUUCAAGGUGGGAAUUGCUUUGGAUACUGAUGGGCUGGAGUGCAGGAGAGGAAAGCGGAAUUACCGGUGUAGCGGUGAAAUGCGUAGAGAUCGGUAGGAACACCAGUGGCGAAGGCGGCUUUCUGGACUGAAACUGACGCUGAGGCGCGAAAGCGUGGGGAGCAAACAGGAUUAGAUACCCUGGUAGUCCACGCGGUAAACGAUGAAUGCUAGGUGUAGGAGGUAUCGACCCCUUCUGUGCCGCAGUCAACACAAUAAGCAUUCCGCCUGGGGAGUACGGCCGCAAGGUUGAAACUCAAAAGGAAUUGAAGGGGGGCCCCCCAAGCCACGGGAGCCUGUGGGUUUAAUUCGAAGCAACGCCAAAAAACCUUACCCAGGUUCUUGACUUCCCACCAAA